ACGUGUACACAUCUAUAUUUAAUGCUUUCCAAAGAUUGAUUCAAUCUAGAUUUAGGCAGCCAAGUUACAUGCUUGAUGAAAGAGAAAGACCCAUACAGUUAACGCUUGAUGAAAGAAAAGGAAAGGAAAUUUCUUCCAAAACAAAAGAGUAGACGUCCUAUUGUGGGGUGAGUUCUAGAAAAGCCUAGAAAAGUUUGUUGCUUGCACACUAUGCAAUUACCCUGUUUCCCGAAAACAUAAGACCCACACACAUAUGCAAGUACCCUGUUUGGAAA
rnacentral:misc_RNA from 1 species